ACGGCUCAGUAACACGUGGACAACCUACCCUCCGGACGGGGAUAAACCCGGGAAACUGGGUAUAAUACCCGAUAGAUCUCGACUGCUGGAAUGCAUCGAGAUCGAAAGCUCCGGCGCCAGAGGAUGGGUCUGCGGCCUAUCAGGUAGUAGUGGGUGUAGCGUACCUACUAGCCUACGACGGGUACGGGUUGUGAGAGCAAGAGCCCGGAGAUGGAUUCUGAGACACGAAUCCAGGCCCUACGGGGUGCAGCAGGCGCGAAAACUUUACAAUGCCGGCAACGGCGAUAAGGGGACCUCGAGUGCCAGGUUACAAAUCUGGCUGUCGUGAUGCCUAAAAAGCAUUGCAUAGCAAGGGCCGGGCAAGACCGGUGCCAGCCGCCGCGGUAACACCGGCGGCUCGAGUGGUAACCGUUAUUAUUGGGUCUAAAGGGUCUGUAGCCGGCCGGAUAAGUCUCUUGGGAAAUCCAGCAGCUCAACUGUUGGGCUUUCAGGAGAUACUGUCUGGCUCGAGGCCGGGAGAGGUGAGAGGUACUUCAGGGGUAGGGGUGAAAUCUUGUAAUCCUUGAAGGACCACCAGUGGCGAAGGCGUCUCACCAGAACGGACCUGACGGCAAGGGACGAAAGCUAGGGGCACGAACCGGAUUAGAUACCCGGGUAGUCCUAGCCGUAAACGAUACUCGCUAGGUGUCGGUCACGGUGCGACCGUUGUCGGUGCCGUAGGGAAGCCGUGAAGCGAGCCACCUGGGAAGUACGGCCGCAAGGCUGAAACUUAAAGGAAUUGGCGGGGGAGCAC
rnacentral:rRNA from 1 species